rnacentral:rRNA from 1 species
UGUCGCUGCAUAUCGGUUUAAAUAACCGGUGAAGAAAGGGCCGGGCAAGACCGGUGCCAGCCGCCGCGGUAAUACCGGCGGCUCGAGUGGUGGCCACUAUUACUGGGCUUAAAGCGUUCGUAGCUGGUUUGUUAAGUCUCUGGGGAAAUCUGCCGGCUUAACCGGAAGGCGUCUCAGGGAUACUGGCAGACUAGGGACCGGGAGAGGUGAGAGGUACUCCAGGGGUAGGAGUGAAAUCCUGUAAUCCUUGGGGGACCACCUGUGGCGAAGGCGUCUCACCAGAACGGCUCCGACAGUGAGGGACGAAAGCUGGGGGAGCAAACCGGAUUAGAUACCCGGGUAGUCCCAGCCGUAAACGAUGCGCGUUAGGUGUAUCGGUGACCACGAGUCACCGAGGUGCCGAAGAGAAAUCGUGAAACGUGCCGCCUGGGAAGUACGGUCGCAAGGCUGAAACUUAAAGGAAUUGGCGGGGGAGCACCACAACAGGUGGAGCCUGCGGUUUAAUCGGACUCAACGCCGGAAAUCUCACCGGAUAAGACAGCUGAAUGAUAGUCGGGCUGAAGACUCUACUUGACUAGCUGAGAGGAGGUGCAUGGCCGUCGUCAGUUCGUAU